AAUGAACGUUGGUGGCGUGGAUUAGGCAUGCAAGUCGUGCGAGAAGGGGGCUUCGGCUCCCGGACAGCGGCGAACGGGGUAGUAAGGCGUCGGAACGUGCCCCGAGGUCCGGAAUAGCGGCGGGAAACUGCCGGUAAUGCCGGAUGACCUCUGCGGAGCAAAGGUGUGAUUCCGCCUCGGGAGCGGCCGACGUGGUACCAGGUAGUUGGUAGGGUAACGGCCUACCAAGCCUUCGACGCCUAGGGGGUGUGAGAGCAUGGCCCCCACCACUGGGACUGAGACACUGCCCAGACACCUACGGGUGGCUGCAGUCGAGAAUCUUCGGCAAUGGGCGCAAGCCUGACCGAGCGACGCCACGUGCGGGAUGACGGCCCUCGGGUUGUAAACCGCUGUCGGGGGGGAUGAAGUCACGGGGGGCAAUCCCUUCGUGUUGACAGAGCCCCGGAGGAAGCGCGGGCUAAGUACGUGCCAGCCGCCGCUGUAAAAC
rnacentral:rRNA from 1 species